rnacentral:lncRNA from 1 species
CUCAGUUUUUAUUUCAGGGUCAUGUUUUUAAGAAGGUGGUGUUGGCGGUUUACAUAUGUGGGAACGUGACUUUUCUCAUGAUAUUCUUGUCUGCAAUCAGCCAUGUUUGAGCACGAAAAGACUUGUUUUUUUGUGGGUCAUGAUGAUCAUCAAAAUGAGGAGAGACCUGAUGCGUGUACUGACCACCUGGCGCACAUACUGAUUCAGAAGACCCCUGGGCAUCGCUCUAGAGGAAUUCUGAAGUCUGGUUUUCUUGGCUCACAUUCAAGUGGGCUAUAUGACACAUGCAUUGAUAUCAAUCAAGGCUUUAUGCGUAAUUCUGCACCUUGAAGGGAACAGUGUACCUGAGAUGACCUGACUCUAAACGUCCCACGCCAGAUUUAAAACAGGAAACUGGAAAGGAAGAUAGCAAGUGAAGACAAUUAUCUCAGGCAAAGAAUAAGUGGAGAUUGUAUCCUUAGGAAUGAGACAGGUUUUGUGUAGCCCAGGCUGGCUUCUAACUGAUUGUAUAACCAAAGAGACCCGGAACCUGUGAUCUUCCUGCCUGUGCUUCCUGGGUGGCGGGGUUACAGGUGUGCACCGCUCUAUCUGGUUUUAAGGGGACUGUAAUUUUCAUGCUGCUGCUGCUGUGGUACUUUAAAGAAUACAUUUAUGUUGAUUAGUUUAUUUUAGAGAUUUUUAUCUUAGAUUUUUUUACAAAAAUUGCUACAUUUUGUUUUUAUACACAUAGAUACACACACACACACACACACACACACACACACACACACACACACACACACACAAA